rnacentral:rRNA from 1 species
UACGGAGGGUGCGAGCGUUGUCCGGAAUCAUUGGGCGUAAAGGGCGCGUAGGUGGCUUCUCAAGCGUGCGGUGAAAGCCUGGGGCUCAACCCCGGGUCGGCCGUGCGAACUGGGGGGCUGGAGCACUGUAGAGGCAGGCGGAAUUCCGGGUGUAGCGGUGGAAUGCGUAGAGAUCCGGAAGAACACCGGUGGCGAAGGCGGCCUGCUGGGCAGUUGCUGACACUGAGGCACGAAAGCUGGGGGAGCAAACAGG